AUUGAACGCUGGCGGCAGGCCUAACACAUACAAGUCGAACGGUAACAGGAAACAGCUUGCUGUUUCGCUGACGAGUGGCGGAUGGGUGAGUAAUGUCUGGGAAACUGCCUGAUGGAGGGGGAUAACUACUGGAAACGGUAGCUAAUACCGCAUAACGUCGCAAGACCAAAGAGGGGGACCCUCGGGCCUCUUGCCAUCGGAUGUGCCCAGAUGGGAUUAGCUUGUUGGUGGGGUAACGGCUCACCAAGGCGACGAUCCCUAGCUGGUCUGAGAGGAUGACCAGCCACACUGGAACUGAGACACGGUCCAGACUCCUACGGGAGGCAGCAGUGGGGAAUAUUGCACAAUGGGCGCAAGCCUGAUGCAGCCAUGCCGCGUGUAUGAAGAAGGCCUUCGGGUUGUAAAGUACUUUCAGCGGGGAGGAAGGGAGUAAAGUUAAUACCUUUGCUCAUUGACGUUACCCGCAGAAGAAGCACCGGCUAACUCCGUG
rnacentral:rRNA from 1 species